CCCCUCUGGCAAUGGCAAAGAGACAACUUGGUGGUGGUUUUCUUAUAUAGGUCAAGGGCAGAGCAGAUGGCAGUCCUUUGUUCAUCCUAGCUUGAUGCCUGGCUUGGUGGCCAAAGAUGGUUUAUGCCUAGGACACAUAA